UGAUGUUCUAUUCCCCGAAUAGGUGGUAAGCCACUCGGAACUUCAUCGGGAAGUACAUCUUCGAAUUCCUGCAAGAAAUAGACAACAGAAGAAGGUAAAGUAGCAUCUAAUUCAUUAGUAUUCAAAUAUGAUUCCUUGUACAUAAGUACAAGUAUAGGCUGCCUCAACAUAAAGGAUUUUCGAAUGUCACUCCCUUUCGCAUAAACACUCAUUUUU
rnacentral:lncRNA from 1 species